rnacentral:rRNA from 1 species
UACGGAGGGGGCAAGAGUUGUCCGGAUUCACUGGGUGUAAAGGGCGCGUAGGCGGGUUAGCAAGUCAGAGGUGAAAUCUCCCGGCUCAACCGGGAAACUGCCUUUGAAACUGUUAAUCUUGAGUGCGGAAGAGAGAGACGGAAUUCCAGGUGUAGCGGUGAAAUGCGUAGAUAUCUGGAGGAACACCGGUUGCGAAGGCGGUCUCUUGGUCCGUAACGGACGCUCAGGCGAGAAAGCGUGGGUAGCAAACAGGCGGCGAUAACCGCGUAGUCC